AAAACAAACAUGCUGCCGUUUUCUCAUUGCAAACAAAACAGUUUCAGUAUCAUAAAAUAAACGUUUUUGUAUGUUUUAUUCUUGCUAUUCGGAAAUCUUCAUCAUGUUUGAAGUACUACUGUUAGCAGAAUGAAAUCCCUGCCUCCAACUAAUACAAAGAUUGGUUUGAAUCUCAACAAGUUAAUUGUGAUGUCAACUAGAUCUAUUCUAUAAAGGAUUCAAGCAAUGGUGGCAAUGCAUUACGCUGAAAUAUUCUGGAAGAUAUUCAUCAACAAGUUUAACUGCGAUACACCACACUGUUUUCCAAAUCUUUUAACAGAGUGUGUGGGAUUUAACCUUUUGGAGAUAUAAAAGUAACUUAAGAAGUGUGUGGGAUUUAACCUUUUGGAGAUAUAAAAGUAACUUAAGAAGUGUGUGGGAUUUAACCUUUUGGAGAUAUAAAAGUAACUUAAGAAGAGUGCUACUCAAUUUACAAAAGGCUAUCAGAACAAACAAAUUAUACAGACGUAAACUUGAUGCAACUCAAAAUACUAUUACGUCCAUUCGCUCAUGAACUAGAAACUUUUGGACCAAAUCUAGAUUUACUAAUCCAGAAAAAGAAAACUUUUCUAUUUUAGCUGCUGUGGGACAACUUAAUGU
rnacentral:sRNA from 1 species